CGUGACAUCAGAUCAGACGUGGCAACCCGCUGAAUUUAAGCGUAUUAGUGAGCGGAGGAAAAGAGACUAACCAGGAUUCCCUCAGUAACGGUGAGUGAAGAGGGAAGAGCCCAGCGCCGAAUCCCCGCCCUGGGGUGGGGUGUGGGAAAUGUUGUGUAUGGAAGGCCCAGUCCCUGGCACUGCUCGUCGGUGGCCCAAGUCCUGAUCUAGGCCAAGACUGUGGAUGGUGUGAGGCUGGUAGCGGCCCCUGGCGUGCUGGGCCUGGGUCUUCCUGGAGUUGGGUUGCUUGGGAAUGCAGACCAAAGUGGGUGGUAAACAUCUAAGGCUAAAUACCGGCACGAGACCAAUAGUGAAGUACCGUAAGGGAAAGUUGAAAAGAACUUUGAAGAGCGUGCAAGAGGGCGUGAAACCAUUAAGAGGUAAACGGGUGGGGUCCGCGCAGUCUGCUCAGAGGAUUCAACCUGGUGGCGGGUCCGGCCGUGUCGGUGGCCCAGUGGAUCUUUCCCGCCCCAAGUUCCUCCCGAACCCUCCACCCGCCCUCCCUCCCCGACUGCCCCUCCUCCUCCCCGGAGGUGGGUUGGUGUGGGCGGGCAGGGCCGGGGUCGGUGGGUGACCAUCCCCUAACUGGCGACUGGUGGCCGCCCGGCGCAUUUCCACCACAGCGGUGCACUGUGGCUGGCUCUGGGAUGGUUGGGAAGGCCCGGUGGGGAAAGGUGGGUCUGGGGGCCCCGUCCGUCCUUCCCCGUCUUCUCCCCGGCCCCGCGUCCUCCCUCGGGAGGCCAUGCGGGUCGGGGUGGCGGCAGUGGUGGGACCGAACCUCCUGAGUUACAGACCCCCCGCAGCAGCCCUAGCCAAAUCCCAGGGCGGAGGGAGCGAGACCCAUUGCCGUGCUCUCCCUUGCCGGUGCCCACCCCCUUGGGGGUGCGCCUGUGUCUCCUGGUGGGGGGCUGGGCCACCCCGCCCACGGUGUGACUGCUCUCCCACCCGCCUCCAUGCAUCCCCACUGACGGGGGACCGCAUAGAGGGGUGGGGUAGACUGUCCCCAGUGUGCCAUGGGCGGGUCAUACUGUCGGCCCCGGGGGAGUUCUCUCGGGGCCAUGCGGACGUCACUCGGUGGAGCGAGCACAUGGGGUCAGCGGCGACGUUGUCUCCCCACCCGACCCUACUUGAAAAAUGGACCAAGGUUAACACGUUGGUGAGUCAGGGGCUCCCACGAAAGCCGCUGUGGAGCAAUGAAGGUGAAGGGCGGUGUGCUCGCUGGCCGAGGUGGGAUCCCGAGGCCUCUCCAGUCUGCCGACGGCAUACCACCGUCCCGUCUCGCCUGCCGCGGCAGGGAGGUGGAGCGCGAGCGCACGUGUUAGGACCCAAAAGAUGGUGAACUAUGCCUGGGCAGGGUGGAACCAGAGGAAACGCUGGUGGAGGUCCGUAGCGGCCCUGACGUGCAAAUCGGUCUUUCGACCUGGGUAUAGGGGGUAAAAGACUAAUCAAACCAUCUAGUAGCUGGUUCCCUCUGAAGUUUCCCUUAGGAUACCUGGUGCUCUCGCAAACCUAACCUCCCCACACAGUUUUAUCCGGUAAAGCGAAUGAUUAGAGGUCUUGGUGCCGAAACGAUCUCAACCUAUUCUGAAACUUUAAAUGUGUAAGAAGUCCGGCUUGCUGGCGUGGAGCUGGGCGUGGAAUGCGAGUGCUUAGUGGGCUACUUUUGGUAAGUAGAACUGGCAUUGUGGGAUGAACAGAAUGCCGGGUUAAGGUGCCCGAUGCCAACGAUCAUCAGACCCGAGAAAAUGUGUUGGUUGAUAUAGACAGCAGGACGGUGGCUAUGGAAGUUGGAAUCUGCUAAGGAGUGUGUAACAACUCACCUGCUGAAUCAACUAGCCCUGAAAAUGGAUGGUGCUGGAGUGUCCGGCCCAUACCCGGCCGUUGCUGGCAGUUGAGAGUGGACGGGAGCGGCAGGGGCGUUAUGCCCGUGUGAGUGUGGUGGGGGUCCUCUCCUGCACCCUCCCCCAGAGCCCCACGGAUUUUAUGCCGCGACGAGUAGGAGGGCCGCUGCGGUAAGCUUUGAAGUCCAGGGCAUGGGCCCGGUUGGAGCCACUGCAGGUGCAGAACUUGGUGGUAGUAGCAAAUUUUCAAAUGAGAACUUUGAAGGCCUAAGUGGAGAAGGGCUCCAUGUGAACAGCAGUUGAACAUGUGUCGGUUGGUCCUGAGAGAUGGGUGAGUGCCGUUCCGAAGGGACGGGUGAGGGCCUCCAUUGCCCUCAGCCGGUUGAAAGGGAGACGGGUUCAGAUCCCCGAAUCCAGAGUGGCAGAGAUGGGCACCAUGAGGCUUCCGGUGCGGUAAUGUGACCGAUCCUGGAGAAGCAUGCAGGAGCCCCGGGGAGGGUUCUCUUUUCUUUGUGAAGGGCAGGACGCCCUGGAAUGGGUUCGCCCUGAGAGAGGGGCCUGUACCUUGGAAAGCGUCGUGGUUCUGGCGGCAUCUGGUGAGCUCUGGCUGGCCUUUGAAAAUCCAGGGGAGACUGUGUGAGUCUCGCACAGGGCCAUACCCAUAUCUGCAGCAGGUCUCCAAGGUGAACAGACUCUGGCAUGUUGGAACAAUGUAGGUAAGGGAAGUCAGCAAGCUGGAUCCGUAACUUUGGGAUAAGUAUUGGCUGUAAGGGCUGGGUGCGUGCCGCCACUGGACGAGGUGCCACCACCCCCCCACGCCCAGGGCGAGCCUGUCGUGGCCCUCCCCUGCCCCACGCCGCGUGCCGCUCCCUACCCCGCCCCCUCUCUCCCUGUCCUCCCCCUCCCUGGGGUUGGCGGUGGCCAUAGGGCCCUGUUGGUGGGGCAUGACCUCCCGUGAUGGGGCCCAGGGGGCUGGUGUUGGCCGUGACUCUGGACGCAAGUUGGGCCAUUCCGUGGAUUACCCCAGUGUGGCCGCCCCAUGGGGAGCCUGGUGGUUGCUGGUGUGCCCUGUCUCGCUCCGCACCAUCGUGUAUGUCCGCGUGGGCAGGGAACGACCGGGUGUCCGUGGGUGGUGGGCGGGGUGGUUCGUUCCCCCACCUCCCCCGGGCCCCAUCCUUCUCCUGUCCCCACCUCUGUGGCGGUGGCGGGCUGCUGGCUGGUCCCUGCCCCCGGGGCUGCGGUUCCGUGCAGCGCCUCGGCCAGUGCUUAGCAGCCGACUUAGAACUGGUGUGCACCAGGGGAAUCCGACUGUUUAAACAAAGCAUCGCGAAGGCCCUUGGGGGCUGUUGCAAAGUGAUUUCUGCCAAUUGCUCUGAAUGUCAAAAUGAAGAAACUCAAUGAAGCACGGGUAAAUGGAGGGAGUAACUGUGACUCUCUUAAGGUAGCCAAAUGCUUCGUCAUCUAACUAGUGAUGUGCAUGAAUGGAUGAAUGAGAUUCUCACUGUCCCUACCUACUUACUCUCCAGUGAAACAACAGCCAAGGGAAUGGGAUUGGUGGAAUCAGUGGGGAAAGAAGACCCUGUUGAGCUUGACUCUAGUCUGGCAUGGUGAAGAGAUGUGAGAGAUGUAGAAUAAGUGGGAGGUCCCCUGUGAUCCCCUGUCCCCCUGAGGGGGAGGGGUGGGGUCCUGUGGGCUGCCCGUGGAAUACUACCACUCUGAUAGUUUUUUCACUGACCUGGUGAGGCAGGGGGUGAGCUCUGAGGGGCUCUCCCUUCUGGCGCCAAGUGUCCGGCUGUGCGCUGGCUAGGUGUGACCCAUUCCGGGGACAGUGCCAGGUGGGGAGUUUGCAGCGGUACACCUGUUGAACGGUAAUGCUGGUGUCCUAAGGCGAGCUCAGGGAGGACAGAAACUUCGUGAGGAGAAGGGCAAAAGCUCGCUUGAUCUUGAUUUUCAGUGGGAAUACAGACUGAAAGCUGGGCUUUGACUAUCCUUCUGACCUUUUUAAGCAGGAGGUUGUCAGGAAGUUACCACAGGAGAUAACUGGCUUGUUGUGGCCAAGUGUUCAUAAGGACGUUGCUUUUUGAUCCUUUGAUGUUGGCUCUUCCUAUCAUUGUGAAGUAGAAUUCACCCAGCAUUGGAUUGUUCAACUAAUAGGGCAUGUGAGCUGGAUUUAGACCGUCGUGAGACAGGUUAGUUUUACCCUACAUGAUGUGUUGCCAUGGUACCUGCUCAGCAUGAGAGGAACCACAGGUUCAGACAUGUGCUUGGUUGAGGAGCCAAUGGGGUGAAACUACCAUCUGUUGGAUUAUGACUGAAUGCCUCUAAGUCAGAAUCCCACCCAGGUGGAAGGAUACAGCAACGUCAUGGAGCCUUGGUUGGCCUUGGAUAGCUGGUUCCCCAUCCCUGCUGGUGGGCUGCGGCGCCCUGGGUUAGGUGUGUCCCACCAUGUGCCAGGACUGGGUCCGGUGCAGAGUGCCCUUCAUCCUGGGAAGGGUGUGGCUGGAAAGGCUACCUACUCGCCCGCCACGCGGCAUACAUUCGGGGGAAGUUGGCACUAAACCAUUCAUAGACGACCUGCUUCCGGGUCAGAGUUUCGUAAGUAGCAGAGCAGCUCCCUCUCUGUGAUCUAUUGUAAGUCAGCCCUCGACACAAGGGUUUGUCC
rnacentral:rRNA from 1 species